AGUGAACGCUGGCGGCAGGCCUAACACAUGCAAGUCGAGCGGUAAGGCCCUUCGGGGUACGACGAGUGGCGAACGGGUGAGUAACACGUGGGUGAUCUGCCCUGCACUUCGGGAUAAGCUUGGGAAACUGGGUCUAAUACCGGAUAGGACCACGGUCUGCAUGGAUUGUGGUGGAAAGCUUUUGCGGUGUGGGAUGGGCCCGCGGCCUAUCAGCUUGUUGGUGGGGUGAUGGCCUACCAAGGCGACGACGGGUAGCCGGCCUGAGAGGGUGUCCGGCCACACUGGGACUGAGAUACGGCCCAGACUCCUACGGGAGGCAGCAGUGGGGAAUAUUGCACAAUGGGCGCAAGCCUGAUGCAGCGACGCCGCGUGGGGGAUGACGGCCUCGGUUGUAAC
rnacentral:rRNA from 1 species